rnacentral:rRNA from 1 species
ACGCUCGACACCUACGGGGGGCAGCAGUGGGGAAUAUUGCACAAUGGGGGAAACCCUGAUGCAGCGACGCCGCGUGGAGGAAGAAGGUCUUCGGAUUGUAAACUCCUGUUGUUGGGGAAAAAGAGGAUGGUACCCAACAAGGAAGUGACGGCUAACUACGUGUCAGCAGCCGCGGUAAUCUGAGCGGGCUGGCAAGGC